rnacentral:misc_RNA from 1 species
UUCAACCCGAAAAUGGUAUAAAAUAAACACUUCGAAUGGAUAUGGGUUAACAUAGACAGUGUUGAUAAUCAAUUCACUAAAAUAUAAAAGAACACAAACUUCUUGUAAAUCAAAGUCAAGAAAAUUGCAGAUACACGAAAUUCUCAAGAAGCAACAGAGGAAUUAGACAGCCUAAGGCACUCAUUUUGGCACCUCUUUAAACAGACAUCAUUCCAAUUGGGUACUUGAUGUUGAUUAACACAAACAGUUCUUGCACAAGCAUCA